rnacentral:other from 1 species
AUCCGCCUGCGCUGUUGGUGAUAGGAAUGUAUAUUUUUUGAGCCUAAAGCUUUUUACGGGAUCCCAAUAUUUGGCUGCAAUGGUCACGCCCCUUACGGGGAAGACCUGAUCAUCCGUGCGGGAACCCACCUGGUAAUCAGGUUCAAAAAGCUUUCCUACACGGCAGCGCGGACAUUAU